rfam:Streptococcus uberis strain CAIM 1894 contig_001, whole genome shotgun sequence.
CAAGAGGCUUUUUUAAAAGCCAACCAAGCAACAGUGAAAUAGGAG